AAUCAUGACGCUAUAACCUGACAUGAACAGAACUGAAGAAAACCGAAGCUGCGUCGAGGAUCCUGAAGUCCUUCUAACACAAAGACAGUCGAUAAACCAACUUUCAAGAACUAAAGACAUUCAGAAAUCUUUUCAGGAAAAAAAAACGGCUCAGCUUUGAAAGGAUUUUCAUCUGAUGUCGCGCGAUGAAGGUCCACAAGACUGUCAUCGUUCUUCUCAUCUUGUGUCUCCUAAUCCCCAGCCCCUCUGAAUGCUGGAGAAGACGACGAAGGCGAUCUCCACCACCCCCACCCCCGGCCCCAGAAUUUACCGUCUGCCCCAGUAGUAAAGAAGUAACAACGGAUAAGGCUGAUGGCAAAGAGAUAGUCCAUUACACCUCACCAAGAGCAACUGGCACUGGAGUAGUU